rnacentral:piRNA from 2 species
UGCUACAAUCAGAAGUGCAGUAUCUUUGUGC